AAAUACAGUACUAUGUUUUCAUUGUCUUGAAACAAAAGUCCUUCACGCACUCACACUCUCAUCAUACACUUAUGACUUGUUCUUUUGAAACAAGAUCUUCACAGAAUAAUUCACUCAUAUGUGCAUCACUUGGUUGUUUUAAUUUACUAUUUCUGACCUGUUAUUAUGAAAGAGAGGCUUCAUUCAAUCACUGUUGCAAUGACAAUUUCAAAGUGCCAAAUAACCAAAGUCAAAUGCAAGUGAUACCAAAGUCAAAUGCAAGUGAUGCAACCUUGACCGCAAUCGUAGUGCCAUCACGACAACAUCUUGAUUGUCAUUGUUUUGAAAACCAUGAUUGCAACUAUGAUAAAAAGUACAAUGAGAGAACAAAAACAAAACCCUAGAAACCCAAAAAUUGAAGUACCUUCAUGUUUGAGAGUAGCACUGGGGAUUCAAGAAACGAAGUCGG